rnacentral:rRNA from 1 species
AUGGAUAUGUCCCUAGAUGUCUUUGUGUGGAAUGUUAGGGAGCUCAAUAACCCUGCUAGGCGAUGUUCGAUCUGGUUGUUUAUGCAGACUUGCAAUGUCUCUCUUGUUUGUUUUCAAGAAUCCAAAUUGGCUGUGGUGGAUGCGGUGGUGGUGAGUCAGACCCUUGGGCCAAGUUUUGAUGCAUUCGAUUUCCUGCCAGUGGCGGGCACUAGAGGAGGAAUUUUGUUGGCAUGGAAAUCAGGUUACCUACGUGUGACUGAUAUCCAUAAGGGCGAAUUCAUGAUCUCUGUCAAGGUUCUCUCAUUUCCGAAGGUAAAGAAUGGAUGGUCUCCACAGUGUACGGGCCGCAAGGGGAGGAAGAAAAGGAGAGAUUCCUGA